AUGCCGCACUCAAAUUCAGUUUUCUGGCUCACCACUGUCUAUGGGCCGGCGGACGACACUCACAAAGACGAGUUCCUGCAAGAGCUGGCCUCGGCAGCUCCUCCUCCUGGCCAGCCGUGGAUCCUCAACGGCGACUUCAACAUCAUUUAUGAAGCCAGAGACAAGAGCAACACCAACAUUAACAGGCGGAUUAUGGGAAAAUUCAGAGAUGCAAUUGACCAAGCUGAAUUGCGAGAGAUAAAGUGCAAGAAUAGGAGAUUCACUUGGAGCAACGAGAGAGAGAACCCCACUCUGGUCAGCGUCGAUAAGUUUUUCUGCAAUUUGGAAUGGGAGGACCUCUACCCCAAGCACGCGCUGAUGGCGGCAUUGACGGCUUGCUCUGAUCCCUGCCCAUUGCUGCCGGGAAACGCGGAGGCCCCUCGGCGAAUAGCUCGCUUUCGCUUUGAAAGUUUCUGGCCGCGUUUCCCGUGUUUUCACGACACCGUGGCCAGGGCUUGGCAAAGGCCAGUGAAUCAUGACUGUCCUUUCGUAAGAAUCAAGACAAAGCUGCGACGAACGCUGCUGACGUGA
rnacentral:rRNA from 1 species